rnacentral:rRNA from 1 species
GAUGAACGCUGGCGGCGUGCCUAAUACAUGCAAGUCGAGCGAACAGACGAGGAGCUUGCUCCUUUGACGUUAGCGGCGGACGGGUGAGUAACACGUAGGUAACCUACCUAUAAGACUGGGAUAACUUCGGGAAACCGGAGCUAAUACCGGAUAAUAUUUCGAACCGCAUGGUUCGAUAGUGAAAGAUGGCUUUGCUAUCACUUAUAGAUGGACCUGCGCCGUAUUAGCUAGUUGGUAAGGUAACGGCUUACCAAGGCAAGGAUACGUAGCCGACCUGAGAGGGUGAUAGGCCACCCUGGAAGUGAGACACGGUCCAGACUCCUACGGGAGGCAGCAGUAGGGAAUCUUCCGCAAUGGGCGAAAGCCUGACGGAGCAACGCCGCGUGAGUGAUGAAGGUCUUCGGAUCGUAAAACUCUGUUAUUAGGGAAGAACAAAUGUGUAAGUAACUGUGCACGUCUUGACGGUACCUAAUCAGAAAGCCACGGCUAACUACGUG